UCUCCGUUGGUGAACCAGCGGAGGGAUCAUUACUGAGUUUACGCUCUAUAACCCUUUGUGAACCAAACUUGUUGCUUCGGGGGCGACCCUGCCGUUCGCGGCGUGGGGCCCCCGGAGCCCAUCAAACCCUGCGUAACUAAGUCGUCGGAGUUUAAACAAAUUAAACAAAACUUUCAACAACGGAUCUCUUGGUUCGGGCAUCGAUGAAGAACGCAGC
rnacentral:misc_RNA from 1 species